rnacentral:rRNA from 1 species
AACGAACGCUGGCGGCAUGCCUAACACAUGCAAGUCGAACGAGACCUUCGGGUCUAGUGGCGCACGGGUGCGUAACGCGUGGGAACCUGCCUUUAGGUUCGGAAUAACUCAGAGAAAUUUGAGCUAAUACCGGAUGAUGUCUUCGGACCAAAGAUUUAUCGCCUUUAGAUGGGCCCGCGUUGGAUUAGCUAGUUGGUGGGGUAAAGGCCUACCAAGGCGACGAUCCAUAGCUGGUCUGAGAGGAUGAUCAGCCACACUGGGACUGAGACACGGCCCAGACUCCUACGGGAGGCAGCAGUGGGGAAUAUCGGACAAUGGGCGAAAGCCUGAUCCAGCAAUGCCGCGUGAGUGAUGAAGGCCUUAGGGUUGUAAAGCUCUUUUACCCGAGAUGAUAAUGACAGUAUCGGGAGAAUAAGCUCCGGCUAACUCCGUG